rnacentral:rRNA from 1 species
ACGGGAGGCAGCAGUGGGGAAUAUUGCACAAUGGACGAAAGUCUGAUGCAGCAACGCCGCGUGGAGGAUGACACAUUUCGGUGCGUAAACUCCUUUUAUAUGGGAAGAUAAUGACGGUACCAUAUGAAUAAGCACCGGCUAACUCCGUGCCAGCAGCCGCGGUAAUA